UUUGCUUGUAGGUUUUAAAAAGCCUUUAUAGAUACAGGGUAUUCUUAAAUAUGUAGACCAUCUUUACGAUACGAAGAAGUUAGUUUUCACGUUGUCAAAAUAUUGAUUUUUCCAAAAAUAAGCUUGACCUAAAUCCCUUAGUCUCCAGCAUUUGUAAGAAAGUAGUUUAAAUUUCAUACUAAGGUACUUUACACGAUUUUAAAUCUUGGUAAUUGUGUUAAUAUGAGGGCAACUGGUGAACUCUUUUAAUGCUGGCUGACUGGCUUUUCCUCUAGUCUUCCUACGCUGCCAGACAUACCAUGCAAUGCCUGCCUCGGCCCCAGCUUGCUGGCACGGAGGGGUUCGAGACACUUGCAAUAUCACUUCCCGUCGGCCACCUCGCGCUCGGUGCGAGUGUAUAUACGUUUUAAAAAUACAAUACUGGAAAAGGCAGGAACUGUACCAACAAAUGGGGUAUUUUUAGGGGGGAGGGGGUUCAGUUCAACUUAAAUAUAGUAUUUUGCCAGUAAUUUUGUGCUAAAUUAAUGCUGUACUGUAUAAUAGGUAAAUGAUUAAAUUUGAACAGUAACUAUUGUGUACCGAUCAUAGUUAAUGUUAGUGAUCAAAUAUUACAGGUUAUACCUACUAAUUGUGCUGUGAGGGUUGUUCUCUGAAUUGUUGUUAUACAAGUUGAUUUGUUCUGAUAUAAGUGGAUAUUUGGACUUGAUAUAAGUAUAAUUUGUCUAUAAAGGUUGACGGUUUAAUGACUUAUUUCAGAUUUGAGUGGGAGGUGGAUGACCUUUGUAGGGUAUUUGACCUUGGCUGAAGCCUUUAUAUACAAUAUACAGAAGUGUGUGGGAGGUGGAAGAGCAUUCUUGGCUAUUUGACAUUGGCUGAAGUCUUAUAAAGAUUUGAAAGUAACACCACACAUGGUGGAGCUAUUUAACUCUGCAAUCACGUACGAGAAGGAAGAACCAGGGGACGGUGACGAACUGGACUCCACCAUUAUCAUGCUCCACCACCAUUUGAGUUUACGAUUUGGCCGUGAAGCUUGUCGUACAUGUGGCAACCCUGUUCCUAUACGGUAUGUGUUAAUUGUGGUUAAUUUCAUGUUCACGAAGAUUUAAUGUUAAAUAUUUUAAGUGUUUAUUCGGACGUACUUCACAAGAUUUGGUAUAUAUUUUGGCUAUAGAGACGUACUGUAGAUGUGUGUUCUUAUUUUAUUGCAUUACAGUUGUACAAAGACUACAUUACUUAAUUUUUAGUUACAAUAUUAUUCAUUCGAGGACCGUGAAGACGAGUACACAAGACUGUUAGUUUCCGUUAACGGAACUGUUGUUGCACAAAAUCGGAAACAUUCUGCUAUAACUUAAAGUAGGCCUACAGUACUGUAGCUGUCGUUGUGGUUUUAGUUUUGUUUAAGGAUUUGUUCACCUUUAAAAAAAAAAAUAGAGUAAUUGUUAACUUACUUUGAAAUAAUUACAUAUUUAAAGUAUGCUUUGCUUGUAGGUUUUAAAAAGCCUUUAUAGAUACAGGGUAUUCUUAAAUAUGUAGACCAUCUUUACGAUACGAAGAAGUUAGUUUUCACGUUGUCAAAAUAUUGAUUUUUCCAAAAAUAAGCUUGACCUAAAUCCCUUAGUCUCCAGCAUUUGUAAGAAAGUAGUUUAAAUUUCAUACUAAGGUACUUUACACGAUUUUAAAUCUUGGUAAUUGUGUUAAUAUGAGGGCAACUGGUGAACUCUUUUAAUGCUGGCUGACUGGCUUUUCCUCUAGUCUUCCUACGCUGCCAGACAUACCAUGCAAUGCCUGCCUCGGCCCCAGCUU